rnacentral:misc_RNA from 1 species
GAUGAAGAACGUAGCGAAAUGCGAUACUUGGUGUGAAUUGCAGAAUCCCGUGAACCACCGAGUCUUUGAACGCAAGUUGCGCCCGAAGCCACUAGGCCGAGGGCACGCCUGCCUGGGCGUCACACGCCGUUGCCCCCCCAUCUACUCCUUCGGGAUUGCGGGGGGGCGGAUGAUGGCCUCCUGUGCGCCUAGCCGCGCGGUUGGCAUAAAUACCAAGUCCUCGGCGACGCACGCCACGACAAUCGGUGGUUGCGAAACCUCGGUUGCCCGUCGUGUGCGUUCGUCGCGCAUCGAGGGCUCGAAAAAAUGCUCGGCUCCGGCUGGGCUUUCAACGCGACCCCAGGUCAGGCGGGGUUACCCGCUGAAUUUAAGCAUAUCAAUAAGCGGAGGA